rnacentral:rRNA from 1 species
GAUGAACGCUAGCUACAGGCUUAACACAUGCAAGUCGCGGGGCAGCAUGGUGGUUGCUUGCAACUCCCGAUGGCGACCGGCGCACGGGUGAGUAACGCGUCUCCAACCUGCCCUUCACCUCGGGAUAACCCGGCGAAAGUCGUACUAAUACCGUAUGUCUUCCAUUUACUGCGUCCGGUAUGGACGAAACGCUUUGCGGUGGAGUCUGGGGAUGCGUCCGAUUAGCCAGGCGGCGGGCUUACGGCCGACCGUGCCUACGAUCGGUAGGGGUUCUGGGAGGAAGGGGCCCGACACUGGGACUGAGACAAGGUGCAGACUCCUACGGGAGGGAGCAGUGAGGGAUAUUGGUCAAUGGGCGUAAGCCUGAACCAGCCAAGUAGCGUGCAGGAUGGCGGCGCUAUGGGUUGUAAACUGCUUUUAGGCGGGGACAAAGUGGCCCACGUGUGGGCGUUUGCAGGUACCGCAUGAAUAAGGACCGGCUAAUUCCGUG